rnacentral:rRNA from 1 species
CCGGCGCACGGGUGAGUAACGCGUAUGCAACCUGCCCGAUACCGGGGUAUAGCCCAUGGAAACGUGGAUUAGCACCCCAUAGUACUUUUAUCCUGCAUGGGAUGUGAGUUAAAUGUUCAAGGUAUCGGAUGGGCAUGCGUCCUAUUAGUUAGUUGGCGGGGUAACAGCCCACCAAGACGAUGAUAGGUAGGGGUUCUGAGAGGAAGGUCCCCCACAUUGGAACUGAGACACGGUCCAA